rnacentral:tmRNA from 1 species
GGGGGCGAAACGGCUUCGACGGGGAUGUGUAAGCUCAUCGUUGCAUGCCGAGCUACUAUUGGCUCGUAAAACCAAUAGAUCUUUAAAUAUAAUCGCAGACGAUUAUAACUACGCAGUAGCAGCUUAAUACCUGUCAUACUGCCGUCCCACCGAUUCUCGCCCGCAGGAUCGGACCCGGGGCGUCGACUCAGCGGGCUGGCCGUCUGAUGGCUGUCUGUCUGCCAGGCGGUGAGAUCUUCAACAGACUGGCUUUUGGAAAUCCAUGUUCCGACGGAGUUCCAAGGGUAAGAUAAAAGCACGGAACUAAGCAUGUAGAUACGGGAGGGGAGCAUUUGCGGACGCGGGUUCGACUCCCGCCGCCUCCACCA